rnacentral:lncRNA from 1 species
GAGUGAAUCAUCCGCGGAGUACCGCGUCAAGUCAGGCUCGAGGUGAAGGACAUCUCACAAGCACCUCAGCCUUAAGUCCACGCGACACUAGGUCCAUCACAGGGAGAGGAGAACCGUCGAUCCCCGUGAUCCUAAGUCGCUCAAGCUUAACGGGCGAGGAGAACCGUCAAACCCGUUGAGCUCAUACCGGGAGAGGAGAACCGUCGAUCCCGUUGAAUCACUACCGGGAGAGGAGAACCGUCGAUCCCGUAGUUCUGAUUCUAUUUAUGCCAACAGCACCAUUCCUAUGGAUUCCGAAAACCACUUUCACAACUUAAGGGUUUAUUCACUUACCCUAUGUUGACGACCUUCCUAGGUCUAUACCAUUCACUUUCUAGUGGUCCUACUACCACUAUAAUUCAUAACUUAGUUCAAUUUUACUAAGUGUCACUAUACAUCAUAACCUAGGUUCAUUUACACUAGGCUUUAUGUUCUUUUCACCUAGAUUUCGACUCUAGGUUUACUAAUUCAACCUAUGUUCAAUGACACUAGGUUCAUUUCAUGUCCAACCUACAUUUAAUAACACUAGGUUCAUUUCAUGUCCAACCUAUGUUUAAUAACACUAGGUUCAUUUCACUCGAUCUAUUUAUUAUCCUAGUUAUUCACGCCUAGGAUUAUAAUUUUCACAUUUUCAUUUACUUUGUCACCGUCAAGAUUUCUACUCAACUAGAGUUGUCGAUUUAUACCCAAUUCUUAUGGAUUUAACAUGUCCACAAUAUGUCAAUGUUCAUACAAGCUUUAGCCUUAACCAUAAUGUAUUCAUAUGCACCUAGCAUUCACUUUCAUAUAUGUCGAGUCAUAUGCAUCUAGCAUUCACAAUUCAUGCAUUCAUAUGUAUCUAGCAUGUUUAUCACAUGUCAAUAUUCAUUCAUCAUCCAAUAUGAUUAUCAAUAUAUUCGUAUGCAUGUUCCAAUGGUAAAUAACUUUACGUGAUUCAUGCUUUCAUCCUAUCAAUCAUAGUCUACACUAAACAUAUAUGCGUCAAUGAAAAUCAUUCAUUGCUUUGGCAUGGAAGCGACCUAAUCGCUUCGGUGAAGCACAACCCACCUUUACUUGACACCAUAAUGUGAGAAAUCCACUUCCCACACUUUCCCGAGAAUCGCAACCCGCGCUCCCGACAAUUGUAGCCGAAAAUGUCCUUUUUGGCGAUAUCUUCGCGUAGGCUCGACGGAUUGCCGAACCGACUUCGCCAACGCGUUCGUUUUACCCUCAAUUAGGUUUGUACGCGUUCAAUUCCACGUUAGCACUUUAAUCCUGCAAAAGUGUAUUAUCGAGCUUAGGUUCUACAUACAUUGUUUCCAUAUAAUUUCACAAAAUACAUAGAGUAAUUCAACUCAUUCCAUCUCUCUCUCUUUCUCAUUUUCUCUCUUUCAUUCCUUCUUAUUCUUUUCUUUCAUUUCUUUUCUUUUCCUCUCUUCUUUUUCUUUUUCUUUCCUACUUUCUUUCUUGCUUUCUUUCUCUCUUUCUUGCUGCCCCUACAGCAGCAACAAUUUGCUGCUACUGCUGGGCAACCUGCAGCAGCAAUCUGCUGCUGCUGCUGAGCUACUGCUGCAGCUGAGCUGCUAACUGCUGUUGCUGCUCCUGAGCUGCUGCUGCUGCUGCUGCUAAACUGCUGCUGCUGCUUCUACUACUGCUGCUGCUGCUGAGCUGAGCUGCUGCCGCUGAGCUGAGCUGCUGCUCCAGCAGCAGCUUGCUGCUGCUGCUACAGUACUCGCAGCAGCAACCUGCUACUGCUGCUACAACCAGCAGCAGCAGGGAGAGGGGUGAGAGGGAGAGAGAUAACAAGGAGAGGGAGAGAACUAGAAAUCCUACCUCUUUUUCUUCUUCUUCUUCUUCUUCUUCUUCUUCUUCUUUUCUCUUCUUUUCUCCUUCUCUCUCAACGUACAGGAGGAUGAAGAGAGGAUAAGCGUGGAGGAAAUUCCCUGGCAGGUUAGUGGAAAUCCACUAAGCAAUGUGAUAAUUACCAUAACACCCCUCACAAUAACCUUAAUUAAAUAUGUUUCCAAUUUAGAAUUUGAUACUUUUCGCCGGAACCCUCUGAAUAUCCGUUUGAGCUCAAAUUUGACAGUCAUGUUCGGUUUUACUUAACUCGAAGAAAGAAAUUUUCAUUUUUCAGUUUCGACCCUGUUUGGUCACCGAAAGCUCCACCGAACAACAUUUCUAACAGAUAGCAGUCGGAUUUUAUUUUUCACCUUCCAGCUGUCAGAAUGGUAUGAAACUUUAAAUCUAGCCUCCAAAAAAUAAUCCUGACAUAUCCUCCAGUUUUCAUAAUUUUCUGACACCGUGCAUUUUCUGCUAAAAUAUCAGCCCCGUUCUUUACAGAAAAUUCUAAAUCUUCUGUUUUCGCUCCGAUUUCAACACGAGUCAUUCCAGACUUAUAUUUUACACCCUUAAGUCCAAUAAAAAUAGUAUCUCACGCCAUUUUUAUUCACACUUAAUUUUAUAUUAUUUUGCUCACUUUAAUCAACAGGAACCUCAUAGUACGAUAAUUUUCCUUCGAAGUCGUUUCGCGCCCAAUUUGCGCCGAAAUACUCAUUUAUCUUCGGAAUUCAUUCCCACGCAUCCAAAAUCUCUCGAGGAAGAUACAAAACCAGCUCCAACCCCACUUUGAUUCAACAGAUCAAAGUUGACAUCGCAACUCCCAAAUUCCAUAUAUUACAAUCUCCCCCUGUUAACCAAAGUUUCGUCCGCGAAACUUAGAUACUUAUCUCUUCUUAUUUACCCUACGAAUGGAAAUAAGUUCCAACAAUCCUCAAUAUAGAAUCAUAUCAUUCCCUAGCUUCUGAAUUUCAUUCUAUGCUACCCUGAUUCCUCCGAAUCAGUCUCUACGAACACUUUGUUCGCGUUUCCAAUCUCAGCUCGUCAUCGAUGCUUAUCUUAGCAAUUCUGACUAAAUAAUCCACAGGACCGAGCCUUCGCUCUCACGGUCCCUAUACACUAUCCUUCACUUGGACAUGUUCGAAACACUCACUUCCAAUGCACACGGGUAAACUACUUGUCUCAAUUACCACAGAUCUGUUCGCAAAUCGCUGAUCCGAUGUAGGCCUAUCACUUAACGUCUCUCGCUCGCAAGCGUAGACCCAAUUAUCACGAGACACAGUUCUCACUUGAGAUAUCGCAUACCUGCUCCAACUGGGAGCAAUUUAAUUUGCUAGGGUUAGGUCAAAUCUGCCUUUCCGGCCUAGUACCAACAACACGAUCCAAUACAUGACCUACCACGUUACCGAUCCAAGCUCGGACUACCGUCCUGACCAAACCUCUGUCACACACGGCUAACUGCGCUUGCCGAAAUGGCUCCAGGCUCUGUAGAUCACAAGUGGUCCAGGCACGGAUUGUCUUCAAGCACUAUCCACAAUUGUCGUCUUACACGACGCGUGCUACCGAGCGACACACAACACUACCAGCUCCUAAGCACCUAGUGCGAGCGACCAGCCCUACGAGUGACCUCUAGCACGCUUCACACCUAGCAACGCUAAAGUGCUACUGCCAACACACUCACGGCUGAAUCAAAUCCGUACUCUACGAGCACCUAUGCGCUCGAGCGCUCUAUAUGUCUCUAUUGCGUGUCAUACUAAGCCCAGCAUCAGGCAACUUUUGCCUAUGCACACCGACUACACGAGCACGACCCACCUACCUCAAUUCGAGGUACUACUAGGUCCACGUGCACGUACCUGACCACUAACCGAUCAUUUCCUCAACAGUGAUUCUAUUUUUACUGUUCGAUCUACCGGAACAAUCUGCAAAACGCUCGGUCUCACAAGAGUUUCACGAACAUCGCGACUAGACUCUCGCAAUCAGCAACUCGCAUUAGUGUUGAGAGUUGGUCAACCAUUACCAUCUCUACCAUGAGUCUCACCUCUUAUCCACAGGCUAUCACCAGCGAUUUGCUAGAGCCCUCAGACUCUCUACCUGUUCCAGCAGGUAUUACAUUCCCCCACACAAGCAUACUCGGGUAUCAACACUUAUCUGUUCACUUGAUCACUACUAUAUUAAGGCAUAAAUAGUAGGGACAAUCACCUAAUCAAUGCAUGCAAUGCACCAAUUUACAUCAUAUUGAAAUACAUAAUUGCUUGAAUUAAUUCAUACCUGCCACAUUACGAUCAGUUGCAGCAGGAUCCUCAACCUGGUUCGCGUAUCCAUGGCCACUUGCCGCCAGCUGCGAACCCCGUGGUUGCCUUAUCCUCAUUCGCUUUCCAGACCGUGCCGCAGGUGGCACACCUGCAAGUUGUCUCGGAGAGGAAAAGGCCGUCGCCAGUAUCCUAUCACCUUGCGAACACUCAUAACCUAGGUGCUCCGAUUGUCCACAUCGAGUGCACUUUCCUUCUCGCUGCACGCAACGUCGUGCCCAAUGGGAACCGCCACAAAUCACACAUCUUGGAGAUGAUCGGGUAGAGGACGAUGUCGAGUGGCGUCCAGAACUUGACUGUUCAUCUUACUUAUUUGUUAAUGACCUAAUCCCUCCUUGCUUAUAUUCCUCAAACUCGUGCUCUUCACGCACGAAAACAUUGCCUUGCUCUAUCCAUAGGGCCCGAUCCAAGACUUCAGCAAAAGUUGGCAACUUAAGAUUAUGCACCGCUUUGAAAAUAUCAGGCCGAAGUCCUCGUACAAAACAAUCAGCUCGAUCCUUAUCACCUUGUACCACGUUCGGAACACAGCUCACGAUACGGGAAAAUUCCCGUUCGUAUUCUCUCACAGAGCGAUCUCUCUGCCGCAAUUUCUGAAACCUGUCUGGAAGCUUCCUCUUUUCACUAUCGGGGAAAUAAGUUGAACGUAUUAAUUCCCGAAACUCUUCCCAAAUCAUAGAAGGAAGACUAGGCGAUCGAUUCCGUUUGAUGUCUUUCCACCACACCUUCGCUGACCGUUGCAAACAAUGUACGGCUAAGUGUACCUUGUCCUGCUCCACAGUGUACAAAUCCUCAAACAAAGUCUCCAUGGAGUCGAUCCACAACUCUACGGUCCACGGGUCUAUAUCCUCUCCAUCAAAAGUAGGCGGAUCAAACUUCUUAAAGGUCAUUAGAGCCACCAAAGCACGCUCCCUCUCCGCCUCCACCUCUGAAGUACUAAAAGUCGGAUUGCCCGACCCAGACAGAAACACCUCCGCCGCAACUCCCGGCCGUACUCGACGGGCCGCAACUGGUGCAGUCACCAACUGAUCAACCGUCUCCUGAAGUCUUUUAAUCCGCUCUUCUUGGCGCAGAGCGGCGUCUUGCUGACGCUGCACUACAUCCGCUUGUUGCCUCACCACUCCCACGAGUGUGGCCAACUGAUCGCAAAGCUCCAAGUCUCCGCUCGCCUCGGUCUGCUCAGGGACACCAUUUGUCCCACCCCGCGCCGUUCUAGACGAAGAUCACCUACGCGGUGCCAUCUUUCCCUGAAACACGACAACUCAGUUAAUACCAACUCAAAUCGGGCGAAAGUCAUGCAAGGGCGUCUAUUCUCAUCACUCGGUUUCAUGUUGUGUCGACCCAACAUGAACUCACUUGGCUGAGAAUAAACUGAACCUUGAAUCUACCUCUAAUAUCCGUCUUAGAGGUUUACUAAACUUGACCCAAUCGAUUUAUCUUUCGCCACAUGUCACAAGUCCUCGUCUCUCACGAAUAUAAAUCCUUACGGUUUACUAUCCUAGGUCUCCUAGGUCCAUCUAAACCGUUUCUAUUACUCUUUUAUGCUCUGAUACCAUUAAAUCUGUCACGCCUCGAGCUCCGCCUAUUUGGUCGGAUUCGGCCACGCCGACAGACCGCCGAACGGACAGAGCUUUCCCUGUACGUUAUAGGCGUCACAAUCUAUACAAUGCAAUACAAGAGGUUCCAACCAGGAACUGUAUUCAAACACAGAUUGCAUAAGUAUCAAAAACAUAAAAUGCUAACUAUGCUAUUACAAGCAUUCAUCUCAAGAUUUUACAUUUACAAUAUUACAUAAGCCUUUAAAUUAUCACAAUUUAUACAAAUUUGAUACAAGUUUGUUUCUUUUUUUCAUUCUUAUACUCUGAGCUAGACUGCUUCAGGGUACUGCUAUCUCUGGUCUCGGUGGUAGGGCGCUAUCUACGGAGCUACGCCCUUUCUUCGCGCCGCCGCGCCGCUCGCGUGUGAACCUGUACCCCCAAAAACAACACGGGGGUGAGAACUAUAUAAAUAUAGUUCCCAGUGGGUACGGCCACCCAAGGAAAGAGCUCGACCCACCAAGUCCAAAGGAGGCAGUGUAACAUGUUAGUCCAACAAAUAAUAAUCACAGAUAAUUCAUGCAGAUAUUAAAACAUGUAUGCCUCAAGAUAUGCAAUAUGCCAAUUAUGCAACAAUAUAAAAGUAGAUCUACUGAUCCUACUUUCUAUCUCGCUAUCCAUAGCUCAAAUCACACUAGCUUCUAAGGUUUUAUCUACCUUAAUCAAGCUAUUCACCCGACUCGGCCUCGAGUGAAUCAUCCGCGGAGUACCGCGUCAAGUCAGGCUCGAGGUGAAGGACAUCUCACAAGCACCUCAGCCUUAAGUCCACGCGACACUAGGUCCAUCACAGGGAGAGGAGAACCGUCGAUCCCCGUGAUCCUAAGUCGCUCAAGCUUAACGGGCGAGGAGAACCGUCAAACCCGUUGAGCUCAUACCGGGAGAGGAGAACCGUCGAUCCCGUUGAAUCACUACCGGGAGAGGAGAACCGUCGAUCCCGUAGUUCUGAUUCUAUUUAUGCCAACAGCACCAUUCCUAUGGAUUCCG